GUUAAAGAACAGUAUUGUGAAACUGACUAUCAGGAGAACAUAAGUUUUACCCAAUCUUUCUACUAUCUUAUGUAUUAUCUGAUUAAUACAUCUGUGAUCUAUAGGAUAAAUUUCAGUAUUGAGGUUGUCAACAUAUAUGAAAUCCAACCUAUUGUAAUUCAGAAGUUGUGCAGCCGUAAUUGAUCCCGAAAGCCUUCAAAAGGAAGAAUGCAUGACAAGAAUGUGAGUAAAACAACCCAAAUGUGAGAUUUGUGAGAACCAACGAAGAGUGUGAGUAGGAUGCAUAAUGAGGUAUUAGCAACUGUAUGGCAAACAGUUAGCAAAAUAUAUUCUUGUGCCAUUCUUGACUGAACAUCGCUAACAGCAUACCUUUAUCACUAGAAGGAAAUUUGUAACAAUUGUCAAAAAAUAUAUAAUAGUAGUUGAACCUUAAUUAAUGCUUCUAGUGUAUGAAGAGGAAAAUUGUUUUUCAAUGAUGCACACUCUGCAUAAAACAUUGACUUUCCAUCUCAGUUAGUAUAUUGAAACCAUGACCUUGGCUGUCGGUGCUUUACCACAAAGAUAUUGUAUGAUAAAAUGAAAAGAUCCUGAUGAAAUUGUCUACGAUAUUUUUUGACGCUUACGAAACUAUUUGUUAACCAAUUGGAAAUCGUGUAAUAAUAAUAGCUCUGAGGUAGAGCGUCUGACUACGGGAAUCGAAAGUCAAGAGUUGGAGUCACAACUGGAAAGUGUUCUGUUAAGUCCGCUGAUGUGACAAGGAAGAAUAGUGAGCAAAUAUGUAUGAUUUGCGGCGUCAUGGUUGAGCAUCAGCCAGCUGUGCCAGAGGAUUGAGUUACGGUUUCCACUGUAGACAAUAUUACCUUUGUACAAAAAAUGAAUCACUCUAUUGUAUUUAUAGGUGACAUUCCGAGACGGAAAUAUUAAAUUGCGUUGGGACGCACAGCAAUAUUAUUACAAGUGCAAAUAGGUUUCCUUCAAAAGACCUGGAAAAAUAGUUAAGUAAUUUACAAGACUCAUGGCUCUAUGGUUGAGCAUCGGCGUCGCACGCAAGAAAUCAAGGGUUCAAUCCCCUAAAGAGUCAGAAUAAGAUUGAAUAAAUAAAUAUAAUUCAUAAUGGCAAAUUUAAUAUACAAUGCAUGUAUACAAUUCAGUAUCAUUAAUGCACUAAAAGUUAUAGAAUCUCCAUGAAGGGAGAUUAAAGUGCAUCGUUCCAUAAACAAUGAAGUCGUAUAAUAACGAAGUAUUCGCUCAUGACUGGGAGCAGCAAAAAUUGA